rnacentral:tRNA from 1 species
UGGAGGAGUUCCCGAGUGGCCAAAGGGGGCAGACUGUAAAUCUGUUGCGAUUCGCUUCGAUGGUUCGAAUCCGUCCUCCUCCACCAC